rnacentral:misc_RNA from 1 species
GAUGAAGAACGCAGCGAAAUGUGAUAAGUAAUGUGAAUUGCAGAAUUCAGUGAAUCAUCGAAUCUUUGAACGCACAUUGCGCCCCUCGGUAUUCCGUGGGGCAUGCCUGUUCGAGCGUCAUUUACCCCUCAAGCACUGCUUGGUGUUGGGCGUCUGUCCCGCUUCGCGCGCGGACUCGCCCCAAAGGUAUUGGCAGCGGUCGUGCCAGCUUCUCGCGCAGCACAUUGCGCUUCUCGAGGCGGUCGAUCGGCGUCCACGAAGCUCACCUCCACCGUUUGACCUCGGAUCAGGUAGGGAUACCCGCUGAACUUAAGCAUAUCAAUAAGCGGAGGA